rnacentral:rRNA from 1 species
AACGAACGCUGGCGGCAUGCCUAACACAUUCAAGUCGAACGAGAUCUUCGGGUCUAGUGGCGCACGGGUGCGUAACGCGUGGGAAUCUGCCCUUUGGUUCGGAAUAACAGUUGGAAACGACUGCUAAUACCGGAUGAUGACGAAAGUCCAAAGAUUUAUCGCCAGAGGAUGAUGCCGCGUAGGAUUAGCUAGUUGGUGUGGUAAAGACGCACCAAGGCGACGAUCCUUAGCUGGUCUGAGAGGAUGAUCAGCCACACUGGGACUGAGACACGGCCCAGACUGCGACGAGAGGCAGAAGUGGUGAAUAUUGGACAAUGGGCGAAAGCCUGAUCCCGCAAUGCUGCGUGAGUGAUGAAGGCUUGAGGGUUGUAAAGCUCUUUUACCCGGGAUGAUAAUGACAGUACCGGGAGAAUAAGCACCGGCUAACUCCGUGCCAGCCGCCGCAGUAA